rnacentral:rRNA from 1 species
CCUACGGGUGGCAGCAGUGAGGAAUAUUGGUCAAUGGCCGGGAGGCUGAACCAGCCAAGUCGCGUGAGGGAAGACGGCCCUACGGGUUGUCAACCUCUUUUGUCAGGGAGCAAGGUGCAGGUCGGGACCUGCUGUGAGAGUACCUGAAGAAAAAGCAUCGGCUAACUCGGUGCCAGCAGCCGCGGUAAUACGGAGGUUGCGCGCGUUAUCCGGAUUUAUUGGGUUUAAAGGGUGCGCAGGCGGAGGCACAAGUCAGCGGUAAAAUCGCGGGGCUCAACCCCGCUCCGCCGUGGACAAUGGGGCCGUUGAGGGCGCGAAGGGUAGGCGGAAUGCGUGGUGUAGCGGUGAAAUGCAUAGCGAUCACGCAGAACUCCGAUCGCGAAGGCAGCCUACCGGCGCGCAACGGACGCGCAUGCACGAAAGCGUGGGUAUCGAACAGGAUUAGAUACCCCAGUAGUC